UCUGAAUAAAAUUGUGACGCUGAUUCUUAAUUUAUCUUUCAAUUUUUGAAAUAACUGUAACUGUAUUGUUACAUUCAUCAGGACUGGAUAUGGCUACAAUUAUUAUUAUUUUUUUUUAUUAUUGUUGUUGUUAUUGUUGUUUUGGUCUUCAAAGAGUAGGAAUUUUGCUCUAUACCUGUUGCUUGAUGUAUGUAUGCCAAACAUUUCUGUUUACUGACCAAGAUAAAAUCUAUUAGCAUUAAAAUUGACGAGUGGGAUAAGAAAGUCCAAAUUCAUUAAGAGUUCGUGCUAGGUGAGAAAAGGAGAGAAAGGUAUUCUGAGAAUGUUAGACAUAACUUUCUGAAAAUUUUAUUUCUGAAAGCUUGAAACAGAACUGUAACUGUCAGUUAGUUACUACUUACUAGAAACAGAAGCUACGACAACUAAUAGUAGAAGCACCUAGCUAUGUGCUAUGUGAAUGCAGUAGGAGCAACCAUACAACUGAAUAAUAUGCACCCUAACAUUCUGUCAUUCCGCUGUAAUUCAAGGUGCAUGUGCCAAUUCAAAGUAAUCAAACACUAGAAUCUCUCUGAGAAUGAUGAAUCACUUAGUAGAGAGAGGUUUGGUUUGCGUGUGAACCUGUUGCUGGAAUGCGAUAGACUACGUGACUUUUUUUAGAACUUCGUCUCUAAAAUAAAAUAUAUCUAGCUCCAUGUAUUUAGUUCUAGAAUGUAAAAUAGGGUUGCGAGUUAGAGCAGAAGUGUUGAUAUUAUCACAUAAAAAUAUUGGCACAUGCAUCACAUUUAGUAGUGACGGAAUCCAGAAAAUUUUGUUGCCUCCAAACUUCUGUAUUCAGCCUCAGCAUUAGAUCUUGCUACUGAUGCUUUUUAAACCUACAAGAAAUCAAUUUACGGCCUAAAAACACUCAAGAACCUGAGGUUGAUCUUCUAUCAUCUGGGUUAGCAGCCCAGUUUGCAUCACAAAUUCACAAUAGGCUUUUAGAGGAAGUGGCUGUCUUGGCAAAGUUAUCUUGAGCAGAAUACUAUGAGGAAAUUUCUGACCUGGUAAGUAUGGAGAUGCCUUUUGCUUGCGGCAUGUCAGUUCUAGCCAAUAUAUCCUGAACGUACUUAGCUUUAAAAAGGAGUGAAGAGCCAUCCUUUAAAUGUUUCACACUUUCACUUCAAUGCCAAGAAAAUAGUCUUAAGCACCUAAUGCUCGAGAGCAGAAUAGAGUUAACUAUGGAAUAAGUUUGUUUAAACCCAUGAAGAGUGAAUUAAGAUGAACUGCAUUUACUGGACUUGAAACCGAGGUUGAGUAAGGCAGCCCCAAUCUCUCAAUUCAUGCUCAGGGUCUGUUUAUUAAUGUUCAGUUGAUGGAUGGAUGUGCCAACCAUUGGUGAGAGCUAAAGUAAGAACAAUCCCAAUGGUAACAUUUUUAAUGUCCAAAGAACAUGCUCUUUGUAAUAGAAGCCAAGCUGAUGAAAACCGUUGACAUCAAGUUUGGCUUAAUACUUGUUAGUUCUACCAUCAUGAUUCUUCUCUUUUAUACACAACAAAACACAUUUGCAUCCAAUAGCUUUCCUUUGAAGAGGAAGAGGAACUAGGGCCUAUGUAUUGUUUUCACGAAAGCCUCCUAAGAGUCAGAUCUCAUAACUGCCGAAUGUUGGGGAUGAGCCAUGGCUUGCGAGAUUAAUGUAGUUUCUAAGUGAGUGUGAAUAAGAGUGGCAUAUAGCCUAGGUUUGUGUGUAACAAACAGAUGCAUUGAUGUUUAUUGCAGUUACAUAAAUAACAUAUUUUCUAAAUUUUGUGCUA